CACGUAGGGACCAAGCGUUGUCCGGAUUUAUUGGGCGUAAAGAGCUCGUAGGCGGUUCGGUAAGUCGGGUGUGAAAACUCUGGGCUCAACUCAGAGACGCCACCCGAUACUGCUGUGACUUGAGUCCGGUAGGGGAGUGGGGAAGUCCUGGUGUAGCGGUGAAAUGCGCAGAUAUCAGGAGGAACACCGGUGGCGAAGGCGCCACUCUGGGCCGGUACUGACGCUGAGGAGCGAAAGCGUGGGUAGCAAACAGG
rnacentral:rRNA from 1 species